rnacentral:rRNA from 1 species
ACUCCUACGGGAGGCAGCAGUCGAGAAUCUUCCACAAUGGACGAAAGUCUGAUGGAGCGACGCCGCGUGAGUGAUGAAGGCCCUACGGGUUGUAAAACUCUGUCAGGAGAGAAGAAUCGCCGGGGUGCCAAUACCACCCUGGUCUGACGUUAUCUCCAGAGGAAGCUCCGGCUAACUCCGUGCCAGCAGCCGCGGUAAU